CCACGCUCCCGGCUUUGGUUGGGGGAUGCAGACGGGCACUGUGCGAAGGGUUAGGUGCUUCGUUGCACGGGGGAGCGGAGGAGAGGGAACAGGUCGUAAAAACCUUCCCUAAAAUCUUAGCCCUAGAUUGGACCUCGCUACACACCCGACGACACCCCGUUCAGGUGGCUCCAACUCCUGGGGUUCAAACAGUGCUUGCUGGAGUCCUGUCCGACUUGGCUUACCCCUCCUUAGCUGUUUCCUCCUAGAACUAUCUUCAGUGGUCUUACUGGCAGGUGUUGGUGUCCAGAUGGAUCGCCUUCGCAGGGCUAGCAUGGCGGACUACCUGAUCAGCGGCGGCACCGGCUACGUGCCCGAGGAUGGGCUCACCGCGCAGCAGCUCUUCGCCAGCGCCGACGGCCUCACCUACAAGUAAGCGCCGGAUCUCGUACCCCUAGGUGCGCGCAUCCACGCG
rnacentral:lncRNA from 1 species